CCCCACUCCGUCUAACAUGUAAACUCACUGAGCAGGGCCCUCAAUCCCUCUGUUACUGUCACUAUACCCCACUCCCUCUAACAUGUAAACUCACUGAGCAGGGCCCUCAAUCCCUCUGUUACUGUGUCACUAUACCCCACCCCCUCUAACAUGUAAACUCACUGAGCAGGGCCCUCAAUCCCUCUGUUACUGUCACUAUACCCCACUCCCUCUAACAUGUAAACUCACUGAGCAGGGCCCUCAAUCCCUCUGUUACUGUGUCACUAUACCC